GCAUAGCGCCCUAAAUGAGCCUAGUUAGUAGCUUUUCCUUUAUGCAUUAGAGUACCCUCGUGUACUAGAUGAUGUUUUGGAUAGUUAUUGGAGAGCUACUUGUAUUUUGAGGAAAACAUGUAUUUAUAUUUUGGAAGAUGGAAAUGUAAUAUAUUCAAAUAAUGUAAAUGUUGAAUGGUUGUAAUAGUUAGACUAUCUCUCUUUAUAUACUUGUACAUUCACUUGUAGUUCUUGCUCUUAGUUACUUGGCACUCGUGUGCCUUAGUCGAUCAUGUAUGUAUUGAAUUUAUUCUCCUAGGCAAAUUCUUGUGCAUGAUCUGGUUGCUUAGCCUUGGGCGGACAGGAGAGGUGCUGUCUGUUCGGCGGUCCAUCCGGCGCGCCCGAACCGUGCCAAAUUGGUAGUGGAUUCGGGGGGGGCCGUGACAAUG
rnacentral:lncRNA from 1 species